GAAUAUUGGACAAUGGGGGGAACCCUGAUCCAGCCAUGCCGCGUGUGUGAAGAAGGCCUUUUGGUUGUAAAGCACUUUAAGCGAGGAGGAGGAGCUCUUGGUUAAUACCCAAGAUGCUUGGACGUUACUCGCAGAAUAAGCACCGGCUAACCCUGUGCCAGCAGCCGCGGUAAUACAGAGGGUGCAAGCGUUAAGCGGAUUUACUGGGCGUAAAGCGCGCGUAGGUGGUUUGUUAAGUUGGAUGUGAAAUCCCCGGGCUCAACCUGGGAACUGCAUCCAAAACUGGCAAGCUAGAGUAUGGUAGAGGGUGGUGGAAUUCCAGGUGUAGCGGUGAAAUGCGUAGAGAUCUGGAGGAAUACCGAUGGCGAAGGCAGCCAUCUGGCCUAAUACUGACACUGAGGUGCGAAAGCAUGGGGAGCAAACA
rnacentral:rRNA from 1 species